AGAAUGGAGCGUUAAUCGUACGCGCCUCACACAACGGUUUCGCUUUCCAAAACACGCACAUUAUGGCGCACUCUUCAGCUUCUCCCUCAAAGAAAACGCAAACGGUCAAGUUUCAAGGCACAUUCCAAACAAAUUACAAUUCUGAAGAGAUGUUCGAACUUGUCGCGAAGAUUAGAAGAAAUCAAGAACAAAAGAUAGAACUCUCCAUCAAAAAUCACCAGAAAAAACGAAGAAAUAUUAUUCAAGUAAAAAUGGCAAGCAAAAACUAAGCUGAAAAAAAUCAAACCAAAGACCUGAAGUGUGCAACCCAUUUGUUGAGUGAGAAAUUC